ensembl:lncRNA
CUGAGCCCGCGGCUGGGCGCUGGGUGCGCCGCCGCUGAGCUGAGGCGCGGUAUCAACCGCCCGCCGCGGCGCCACAGCUCCGGCCAUCCCAGCGCGCCCUCGGCACGGCUGCCUGUGGGCGUCUCAUCUCAGUGCUGGGCUUUGACAGCCUGUCCUCCGUGCCUCUGCGUGGCUCCGUGGAAAGGAGAAAGGGCCUUGAGUUAAACGGAGGUGCUUCGCCGUGAAGAUGCCUCCGCACAGCACGUAGAGCUUACAGACGUGGUGGUCCCACAGAGAGAGCCGACGGAGGGACGCUGUGGCUGGAGCAAGCUCCCACACUGCGGCAGACCCCAUUUUUAUCUGCUCCUCCCAGCUCAGCUCUCCUUUGUCGCUGGUGGCAAAGCCGUGAAGCUGUGAUGUCCUGCAGGCCUGUCCCACCGCCAGGAAUGGUUGCCCUCAGUUGUGAGUGGGAUGCAGGAGGUUCUCCUCUAUGACUUGCGUUCUAGCACUCAGCAGAGCUCAGAAAAGCAAGAAAACAACCUUCCUGGUUAAUCUUUCUUUGUGCAACGCUACGGUUAUCUGCAGAGGGUCUCUUCCAAAAAGUCACAUAUAAUAAUAGCAUUGUUUUCCAGAACAAUCCUUUAUUAAUCCAAUAAAAACAAGAGUGUGCUUUGCUUUGGCAGAGAACUGCAUAAACAUGACAGCACUCAAAACCAGUUGUGUUUCUGAGUGGAAUGCUUUAUUCCAGCAAGGAAUCUGUUAUUUGGCUACAGUCCCACGGAGGAGUUCAAACAAUUGAAAUGUCAUUACCGUGACAGGAUGAUGGCCAAGAAGUGAUGAUGUACUCUUCUGACAUUACAGACUCAGAUUGUCCCUCUGGCACAUGAAGCACAGCACAACAUGUUGGGCACAGGAGCUGGAGAGAGAAGAGACCAAAAUCACAAACACAAGGAAGGAAGAAUAUGAAGAAAACUUAAUAAUAACAUCGAAAUUUCUUGAAUCCAACCUCUGUUCCAAGUUUCUCAUUACAUGAGAUGACAGCUGCAACUCACCCUGUUAACAGUGAACGUGCGUUAUUGUCUGGGCCUGAAAUACUCAGUAAUAAGUUUACUGGCAUAUGAAAUAAAACUCUGAGAGAGAUGAUUGCAAUAUUAGAAGGGUAACUGGCCCGGUCUUGUUCUCACUGAAGGUAGUGGGAACCAAAUCAGAUAGUUUGAUGAGAAUAAAAACUCAUUGCUUCUGCCUUUAGAAAACUGUACUGUUGGACUAAGCCAUAUUCUGGAGGGCUGUUCUUUAUUGUUUUUUGAAAACAUGUUGCACUUGAUGAAGUAAUGGGCAUUUAUUUUUAGAAAAAAAUCUUCAAGAACUUGUAGGUAUUUGUUUGUAGAGUUUGAGGUAAAACGUUUGAUCGUGAAACUCAAAUAUCAACAGCAGAUUAGCUAAAUCAAAUGUCAAAGCAGCAGAAAAGACAAUAAUGACAAGGACUUUAUGAUUUGGAGGAGUAAGAGGAAAAGACAAUCUUUAAAAUGUUGAUUUUUGGACCAAGUUGGCAUAAGAAACCAGAUGAUGUCCUUUUCAUCAGAGGGACAAUAUUUUGAUGGUGCUCUAUAAUAAGGACAUACAUUCCUAUUGUGAUCCAAAGAUGUUAAAAUUAUUUUGAACUGCUCAUCUUCCAGGUUUCUUUUUUACCAUUUUUCCUCCCAGCAGUUUACCAGUAGCAUAUAUUUAUUCAAGAAACUAGCCAAUAAGGUGCAAUGGUACCAGAGAAGGCUGUCCUGUUCUCCAAUGAAGUGUUAUGCUUAUGCAGUUUAACUUCUUCAGAAGAAUCUUAUGUACAAACCGAUCAGUCAUCUCUUCUGGGUAACGCUGAAUUUUUGCAGAUACAGCUCUUAAAAUGAGUGGUGUUCAAAGCUAUCACAGAAUGUUUCAAUCUCAAGCCCUCGGAUGUUAAUUGGAAGAAGAAAGCAAGCUAUUUGCACUACUGUAAUAAGCUGCGGCGAUUUUGUUAUGUUAGACGGGAGUGUUAAUGAUGAGCCACAAAUGCAAGUUUUUACAAAGCCUCUGAGAAUUAAGCACUACGUCCUAUAUUCCUCUUCCUUGCUGUUCCAGUGAAAAGCAUACGUGUGGAAGAACAAAUGAAAAUGUUGUCAUGGUGAUCAGAGCAGUUACCGAG